rnacentral:rRNA from 1 species
AGUAGUUUGACUCCGUGGCUCGAGGACGAACGCUGGCGGCGUGCUUAACACAUGCAAGUCGAACGAUGAACCAGGGCUUGCCCUGGAAAUUAGUGGCGAACGGGUGAGUAACACGUGGGCAACCUGCCCCAGACACCGGGAUAACCAUCCGAAAGGAUGGCUAAUACCGGAUAUGACCACUUUGGGCAUCCAACGGUGGUGGAAAGGAUUCUGGUCUGGGAUGGGCCCGCGGCCUAUCAGCUAGUUGGUGGGGUAAUGGCCUACCAAGGCGACGACGGGUAGCCGGCCUGAGAGGGCGACCGGCCACACUGGGACUGAGACACGGCCCAGACUCCUACGGGAGGCAGCAGUGGGGAAUAUUGCGCAAUGGGCGAAAGCCUGACGCAGCGACGCCGCGUGAGGGACGAAGGUCUUCGGAUUGUAAACCUCUUUCAGCAGGGACGAAGCGAAAGUGACUGUACCUGCAGAAGAAGCACCGGCUAACUACGUG